rnacentral:rRNA from 1 species
AGCGGCGAACGGGUGAGUAAUGCAUCGGAACGUGUCCCGGAGUGGGGGAUAACCCGGCGAAAGCCGGACUAAUACCGCAUAUGCUCUGAGGAGGAAAGUGGGGGACCUGAGAGGGCCUCAUGCUUUGGGAGCGGCCGAUGUCCGAUUAGCUAGUUGGUGGGGUAAAGGCUUACCAAGGCGACGAUCGGUAGCUGGUCUGAGAGGAUGAUCAGCCACACUGGGACUGAGACACGGCCCAGACUCCUACGGGAGGCAGCAGUGGGGAAUUUUGGACAAUGGGGGCAACCCUGAUCCAGCCAUGCCGCGUGCGGGAAGAAGGCCUUCGGGUUGUAAACCGCUUUUAGCUGGGAAGAAAAGGUUCACCCUAAUACGGUGGAUUCUUGACGGUACCGGCGGAAUAAGCACCGGCUAACUACGUGCCAGCAGCCGCGGUAAUACGUAGGGUGCGAGCGUUAAUCGGAAUUACUGGGCGUAAAGCGUGCGCAGGCGGUUCGUUAAGUUUGUCGUGAAAGCCCCGGGCUCAACCUGGGAAUGGCGAUGAAAACUGGCGAGCUGGAGUGUGGCGGAGGGGGGUGGAAUUCCAGGUGUAGCAGUGAAAUGCGUAGAGAUCUGGAGGAACACCGAUGGCGAAGGCAGCCCCCUGGGCUGACACUGACGCUCAGGCACGAAAGCGUGGGGAGCAAACAGGAUUAGAUACCCU